rnacentral:rRNA from 1 species
AACACGUGAGCAAUCUGCCCUUGACUCUGGGAUAACUGCGGGAAACUGUAGCUAAUACCGGAUACUUUCCUCGGUGGGCAUCCACUGAGGAAGAAAGAAUUUCGGUCAAGGAUGAGCUCGCGGCCUAUCAGCUAGUUGGUGAGGUAAUGGCUCACCAAGGCGACGACGGGUAGCCGGCCUGAGAGGGUGACCGGCCACACUGGGACUGAGACACGGCCCAGACUCCUACGGGAGGCAGCAGUGGGGAAUAUUGCACAAUGGACGAAAGUCUGAUGCAGCAACGCCGCGUGAGGGACGAAGGCCUUCGGGUUGUAAACCUCUUUUAGCAGGGAAGAAGCGAAAGUGACGGUACCUGCAGAAAAAGCACCGGCUAACUACGUGCCAGCAGCCGCGGUAAUACGUAGGGUGCAAGCGUUGUCCGGAAUUAUUGGGCGUAAAGAGCUCGUAGGCGGUUUGUCGCGUCUGCUGUGAAAUUUCGAGGCUCAACCUCGAACUUGCAGUGGGUACGGGCAGGCUAGAGUGCAGUAGGGGAGAUGGGAAUUCCUGGUGUAGCGGUGGAAUGCGCAGAUAUCAGGAGGAACACCAAUGGCGAAGGCACAUCUCUGGGCUGUAACUGACGCUGAGGAGCGAAAGCGUGGGGAGCGAACAGGAUUAGAUACCCUGGUAGUCCACGCCGUAAACAGUGGGUGCUAGCUGUGGGCCACAUUCCACGUGGUCCGUGACGAAGUUAACACAUUAAGCACCCCGCCUGGGGAGUACGCCGCAAGCUAAACUCAAAGAAUUGACGGGGCCCGCACAAGC